CGGCUCAGUAACACGUGGACAACCUACCCUUAGGUCGGGGAUAAACCCGGGAAACUGGGUAUAAUACCCGAUAGAUCUCGACUGCUGGAAUGCAUCGAGAUCCAAAGCUCCGGCGCCUAAGGAUGGGUCUGCGGCCUAUCAGGUAGUAGUGGGUGUAGCGUACCUACUAGCCUACGACGGGUACGGGUUGUGAGAGCAAGAGCCCGGAGAUGGAUUCUGAGACACGAAUCCAGGCCCUACGGGGUGCAGCAGGCGCGAAAACUUUACAAUGCUGGAAACAGCGAUAAGGGGACCUCGAGUGCCAGGUUACAAAUCUGGCUGUCGUGAUGCCUAAAAAGCAUUGCAUAGCAAGGGCCGGGCAAGACCGGUGCCAGCCGCCGCGGUAACACCGGCGGCUCGAGUGGUAACCGUUAUUAUUGGGUCUAAAGGGUCUGUAGCCGGCCGGAUAAGUCUCUUGGGAAAUCCAGCAGCUCAACUGUUGGGCUUUCAGGAGAUACUGUCUGGCUCGAGGCCGGGAGAGGUGAGAGGUACUUCAGGGGUAGGGGUGAAAUCUUGUAAUCCUUGAAGGACCACCAGUGGCGAAGGCGUCUCACCAGAACGGACCUGACGGCAAGGGACGAAAGCUAGGGGCACGAACCGGAUUAGAUACCCGGGUAGUCCUAGCCGUAAACGAUACUCGCUAGGUGUCGGCAACGGUGCGACCGUU
rnacentral:rRNA from 1 species